rnacentral:rRNA from 1 species
CGCCGAACAGCUAGCCCACCUGAACAACUUCAACACCCCCCUAUUAAUACCCCUGAAUAUAAAACACUAUAUAAAACAAAUCAUUUUACCCCCUUAGUAUGGGCGACAGAAAAGGGAAUUAGGCGCAAUAGCGACAGUACCGCAAGGGAACGCUGAAAGAGAAAUGAAAUAACCCAGUAAAGCACUAAAAAGCAGAGCUUUACCCUCGUACCUUUUGCAUCAUGAUUUAGCCAGUGAUUUUCAAGCAAAAAGAUUUUUAGUUUGUUAACCCGAAACUAAGGGAGCUACUCCAAGACAGCCUAAUAAUUAGGGCGUACCCGUCUCUGUUGCAAAAGAGUGGGGCGAGCUUUGAGUAGAGGUGACAGACCUACCGAACUUAGUUAUAGCUGGUUGCCCAAGAAAUGAAUAGAAGUUCAGCCUCCCGGGUUUCUCCCUUCACCUCAGUGUACACACCCCCCUGAUGUCUUAAGAAACCGUGAGAGUUAUUCAAAGGGGGUACAGCCCCUUUGAAACAAGACACAACUUUCCCAGGUGGGUAAAGAUCAUAAUAACAUAAGGUAAGUAACCCUCGUGGGCCCGAAAGCAGCCACCCCCUAAAGAAAGCGUCUAAGCUCAAAACAAUCUUGCCCCUCCCCCAAUUCUGAUCAUUUAAUCUUAUCCCCCUAAACUUAUUGAGCCAUCCCAUGCCCCCAUGGGAGUGACCAUGCUGAUAUGAGUAAUAAGAAAGCCUAGGCUUUCUCCCCGCACGCAUGUAAAUCGGAAUGGACCCCCCACCGAAUAUUAACGGCCCCAAACACAGAGGGCAGUGGACGAUAGACCAAACAACAAGAAAAUCCCCCAUCCGCUUACCGUUAACCCAACACAGGUGUGCCCCCAGGGAAAAACUAAAAGGGGGAGAAGGAACUCGGCAAACACAUAAAGCCUCGCCUGUUUACCAAAAACAUCGCCUCUUGCAAGUAAUGAAUAAGAGGUCCCGCCUGCCCUGUGACUAUUAGUUUAACGGCCGCGGUAUUUUAACCGCGCGAAGGUAGCGCAAUCACUUGUCUCUUAAAUGGAGACCUGUAUGAAUGGCACAACGAGGGCUUAGCUGUCUCCUCCCCUAAGUUAAUGAAAUUGAUCUCCCCGUGCAGAAGCGGGGAUAAACACAUAAGACGAGAAGACCCUAUGAAGCUUUAGACGUAAGGUAGCCCAAACUAUAAUGACCUCCUGAUAAGCAGCCAAACCAAAAUGAGCCCCUACCCCGAUGUCUUUGGUUGGGGCGACCGCGGGGAAAGAAAAAACCCCCACGUGGAACGGGAGUACAACUCCUUAAACUCAGAGCCACAGCUCUAACAAACAAAAUUUUUUGACCUAAAGAUCCGGCAAUGCCGAUCAACGGACCGAGUUACUCUAGGGAUAACAGCGCAAUCCCCUUUUAGAGACCAUAUCAACAAGGGGGUUUACGACCUCGAUGUUGGAUCAGGACAUCCUAUUGGUGCAGCAGCUAUUAAGGGUUCGUUUGUUCAACGAUUAAAGUCCUACGUGAUCUGAGUUCAGACCGGAGCAAUCCAGGUCAGUUUCUAUCUAUGCUAUAUUCUUUUCUAGUACGAAAGGACCGAAAAGAAGGGGUCACUAUAUUCUGUACACCUCCCCUCCACCUAAUGAAAACAACUAAAAUAGACAAGGAGAUAUGCUUUCCCUGCCAGAGAAAAUGGCAU